rnacentral:rRNA from 1 species
GAUGAACGCUGGCGGCGUGCCUAAUACAUGCAAGUCGAGCGAAUGGAUUAAGAGCUUGCUCUUAUGAAGUUAGCGGCGGACGGGUGAGUAACACGUGGGUAACCUGCCCAUAAGACUGGGAUAACUCCGGGAAACCGGGGCUAAUACCGGAUAACAUUUUGAACCGCAUGGUUCGAAAUUGAAAGGCGGCUUCGGCUGUCACUUAUGGAUGGUCCCGCGUCGAAUUAGCUCGGUGGUGAGGUAACGGCUCACCAAGGCAACGAUGCGUAGCCGACCGGAGAGGGUGAUCGGCCACACCGGGACUGAGGCACGGCCCAGACUCCUUCGGGAGGCAGCAGUAGGGAAUCUUCCGCAAUGGACGAAAGUCUGACGGAGCAACGCCGCGUGAGUGAUGAAGGCUUUCGGGUCGUAAAACUCUGUUGUUAGGGAAGAACAAGUGCUAGUUGAAUAAGCUGGCACCUUGACGGUACCUAACCAGAAAGCCACGGCUAACUACGUGCCAGCAGCCGCAGUAA